UACGGAGGGGGCUAGCGUUGUUCGGAAUUACUGGGCGUAAAGCGCACGUAGGCGGCUUUGUAAGUUAGAGGUGAAAGCCCGGGGCUCAACCCCGGAAUAGCCUUUAAGACUGCAUCGCUUGAACGUCGGAGAGGUGAGUGGAAUUCCGAGUGUAGAGGUGAAAUUCGUAGAUAUUCGGAAGAACACCAGUGGCGAAGGCGGCUCACUGGACGACUGUUGACGCUGAGGCACGAAAGCGUGGGGAGCAAACAGG
rnacentral:rRNA from 1 species